rnacentral:lncRNA from 11 species
UUAAAUUUAAAUUCAUUCGGUAAACGAACUUUUCCAUUAAUUAUAUCUCAAUACAAACUAUUAAUUAUUAUAUUGUAACAAUAGCAUUAAGUUACAGUUUGUAAUACAGAAAAAAAAAAAGAAAUGUACGCACUUGCGCAAAACGGAAACGAUAAUUACCGUAGGGAAACAAUACGAAAGUUACGAAGGAAGAAAUUUUCUAUAGUCUGGUAAACCGCAAGUGGACCAAUGAAGAGGUUGAAUCAAGAGUGGCGAGAGGAACAAUAAAUCCUUCAUAUCGCAGUGAGUAUUAUAAUUAAUGAACCCUCGAAAGUGGAAAAAAAUUAGGAAGAAGGAAAAUACUGAAUUGAAACGAGAGAUCGUGCUUCAAAUUCACGGUAAGUCGAUGUGGUCAAGGUAAAACGCGAUCGUUUUAACCUCACAAAUUAAAUCGUUCUCGAAUUUUUUUUUUUUUUGAGAUGAAAUAAAUUUAUAAGCUUUUGUUAAAAAUCAAAUUCAAUAAAUCUUUUUUAAAUCUCUAUCAUUUUGAACACGUGUAAAAUAUAUCAUCUGUCAUUUUAUACAGAAAGAUUAUUAAACGAACUUUACAAAUGUAUAUUUCGAUUAUGACAAGGUGCGUGCACAAUAUAGCUUUGCAGCUGCAUAUAUGAUACAUGUCACAGAAUUGAUUGCAGUGACAUGAUCAUAGCAAAUCCUAUAACUGUAAAUAUUUUACACAUGAUUCUCGUGUGCAUCGUUCCGCUACAUGAACGUGUAUAACGUGUCAAUGGCAGCCGUUAUCUUAUUGGUCGUUCUAUUAACCCAUGAAACAAACAAGGCCUACCGUGCUCGUAUAACAUCGCGGUAUACAUCAUCGAUGGACUGCUUCCAAUAAACUAUAGCACCAGUUUCUGCCAAGUCAUUAAUCAUUCAGAAGACGGUGCCAAAGAGAGCAAUAUCGAAUAGUAUGGAAACUGAAAUCCCUUUGGACUAAUCGUUCAAAAGUUUCUUCCGAAACAUGGAUAAUUCAUAUAAUAUAGCAAUUCCCUAUAGUUCUAAAUAAUCUAACGUGAUUAUUUGAAAUUUAUUGGAAUCAACAUCUGAUUCAACAUUACUAUUCACAAUGUAUUUAAUGUGGAUUGCAUUUGUAUAGUUGCAUACUAGAAGUUAAUAAAUAAGAAAGAAAGGGGAUUAUUACAAAGAAGAAUAUUAAUUCAAAAACAUUGGAAAACACUGGUUUGCUCUAUUUCUAUCACCAUUAAUUAAACCAGGAAUAGAACGGAAGCAGACUCGUGCGAAGAUGUAAAUUCAGGAAACUCGACUAGGCUACAGCUUGUUAAACUGGUUACCGAGAUGGGCAUAAGAGGCAAGAAGCUGUGAACAAGAGCUACAUCAAGAAUUUUGCCUCCAAAUAUUUAGAGCUCUUUACUUUUUUUCUCUAAUAACUUUUUCAAAAGAGCUCAAACAUAUUAUAUAUAUAUAUAGACACGUGCGAGGUGUUCUCUAUUGAUAUAGUCAGAUACGUGAGAGUUUCUAGGAAAUUACAUGUCAAGCGUCACUCUGUCGAUGUGUCUAUAAGUUCAAGCUCCAUGAACGUUUACAACACGUGUCACGCAAUCUCUCUAUCGUCGUGCUUUUCAAGUGGACACACAUACAUACACAGAGAACAAAAGGUGGCAUGGAGGUGCGCAUUCACGUCGUGGAUGGUGUGUAUUGACAAGAACAUUACUCGGGCAAAAUUUUCCCCAUCGAUGGUGUUGCAGAUUUUACUGUAAUCACGUUUUCGCUAUAUAAUUAUCGCGCAAAGUGGAUAUGAAUAUCGGCAAAAGUUGUUCGCCAAGACGCCCGACCUAUCUUCAACAAUUAAAGCAUUGGAAAACAAGACUUGUUUUGCGUGUCUAUGAUUUUUCUUUAAUGUAAAAUAUAGCAAAUUAUUUCUAUCAACAAUUGGACACGAAAGUGAUUUGAAAAUGUCAAAAAUAAUUGAAUUUAUUUAUUGAUGUAUGAAGAUAAUUAUUUAUAAAAAAGUACAGCCUUCUUGAGGAUUGAUAAUUUUUUAAUAUAUUAUGAAGGUCAUCAUCCUGAAGAUUUUAUUUGCCAUGUUGGUAAUUGUUCAUUAAAAAAUUAUUAACAAAAUAAUUCAAAAUAGAGUUAAA